AAAAGGAAUUGUGAUUUUU
rnacentral:miRNA from 1 species